UUUGUACUCCCUCCGUCCGAAAAUACUUGUCGGAGAAAUGGAUAAAAAUGGAUGUAUCUAGAACUAAAAUACGCCUAGAUACAUCCAUUUCUCCGACAAGUAUUUCCGGACGGAGUGAGUAGUAU
rnacentral:pre_miRNA from 1 species